GACGAACGCUGGCGGCGUGCUUAACACAUGCAAGUCGAACGGAAAGGCCCUGCUUUUGUGGGGUGCUCGAGUGGCGAACGGGUGAGUAACACGUGAGUAACCUGCCCUUGACUUUGGGAUAACUUCAGGAAACUGGGGCUAAUACCGGAUAGGAGCUCCUGCUGCAUGGUGGGGGUUGGAAAGUUUCGGCGGUUGGGGAUGGACUCGCGGCUUAUCAGCUUGUUGGUGGGGUAGUGGCUUACCAAGGCUUUGACGGGUAGCCGGCCUGAGAGGGUGACCGGCCACAUUGGGACUGAGAUACGGCCGAGACUCAUACGGGAGGCAGCAGUGGGGAAUAUUGCACAAUGGGCGGAAGCCUGAUGCAGCAACGCCGCGUGCGGGAUGACGGCCUUCGGGUUGUAAACCGCUUUCGCCUGUGACGAAGCGUGAGUGACGGUAAUGGGUAAAGAAGCACCGGCUAACUACGUG
rnacentral:rRNA from 1 species